UGGACAUUGGAGAAGACGCAGAAAAUACUAUUCAGUAGGCACAGGCAGAAGUAUAGGAAAGGCAAGUUAAAUUGAAUUAGAGAAAGAUGAAACGAGAUAUAUUGUAUUGGAGACCAUAAUAAUCAAGGUUUACUGAAAUAGCUAUUGGACUGUGGGCAGUACAUGUAUUAAAAAGGUAAUAUGGAAUUAUUUGAAAAUUUUGUUUCCCUUUAUCAUAGAGUUACAUAAAAAAAAAACUUGUGAGAAUUUAUCAGCAGUGAUGAUGAAAAUCAUUUCUCCAUUCGCGGUUUCCACCAGAGGUUUUCCGAUGAUGGAUUAAUCCUUCCUUGGAUGUCUGAACUGCUUUGAAAAUUCUCAUAUUUUUGAUAACCAAAGCGCCUGUGUCACUCUGCUAAAUUAAUAUGGAAAUUUUUUAAGUUUGCUUUCUUGAAAAAAAAAUUUUAUUACCAGUAUUUCUGUUGAUUGCCCCAUGUAUGAAUAUAGGCCAAGAAAUGACAUUGUAUGUUGGGCUUACCUGCGACAGUGGCUCAUUUGAGCAAUUCUUAUCAUAUUUGUGUACAGUCUUGAAGCAUUGUUCUAAAAAUGUCCACUUUCCAUCCUCUUUAGAACAUUGUUAAGGGUAUUAAGUUGAUUAGAUGGAAACCUAUGCUUUCAGAAGGAGAUGAUCACAAGUUGGUGAACUCCUCCCAAGAAAACUUAAACUUCAACAUGAAAGGUCUUGAUAAUAACUGAUUAUGAAACUAGUUUUACAUGGAAAAAAUCUGAAAGUACUAAGAAAAUUCUUAAAAGUAAACUUUUUUUGGUCAUAUUUGUAUAGUUUAGAAUUUUGAAGACUUGUCCUAUAUUAGUGGAAUUAAAAUCAGCAAGUCAAUCAGUGCCUGGGAAGGACAAACAACUGGUUGGGCCAAUAAUUGUAGAUUGGGCAUAAUUAGGUGGACAUAAAACAAAUUGCAGCUUUCAUAUUAAUUUGUGUACAUGUUUUAUUUUUUCUAAAUUUAUACUGAAAUGAUGAAAUUCUUGUGGGAAUCUCUCUGAAUAGAAUGAAGAGAUUUAAAACAAGUAUCUGAUUUUCUUUCUAACAGCCCUGCCAAAAUUUUGAAGAAUUUAUUCUAUUUUAAUGUGUUAAUUUUCAUUUGUUUUAGAUUGAAAGUUGAUUGGUAAUGUAGUUCAGAUAAUGAUGCAGCUAUUGGAAAAUUGACCAAAAAUUCCAGCAUAAAAGCCAGAGGUUAAGAAAUUUAGGAGUCUUUUAGUAAUGAAAUGCUGUAGACUUCAAUUUUCUUUUAUCUCUGAUGAAAAAAUCAACUACCCGGUACUGCCAUUCUGAAAAUAAUUUACCUGGUGUGCUUGCAAAGAAAAUGUUGUGUCUCUCUACACAUAUAUCAACAAUUUUGACUGAAUUUCCUGUGAGCAGCUGCAUAUAUGUAGCAGACAAGCUACUAGCAUACGGGAAAAUUGAGGUGAAAGUCCUGAAGAGCUACAGUUCUUCGCUUAAAGAAGAGUGUUGCAAAUCUAUAACUCUUCUAUUUUUCGGAAAACUUAUAUGCUCUCAUUCAUUUGUUUUUGAGAAAAACUAAAUGCAUAAAUAUAAUGUUCAUGAAUCCCUCUACCGAAUUUGAAAUUUAUGUGUCGGGGUUCAGGCCGUUGGAUGGGCAAAUAUGGCCAUAUACCAAGUGAAAAUUUGUUCAAUCUUAGAAAAUCCCAAUCCUCUACUUCCAUAGCAUAAAGGGAGAUAAACUGAAUGCAUGGUUUUCAUGAAGCAUUCUACCUAAAUUGUGAAAGUCAUAACCCCUGUUUUCGGUGUUGAUGCCCUUAUGUAGGGCUAAUAUGGCCACAUAGUUGAAUAAGUUGAUUAAGAUGAAGAUUAGAUAAUGCAGCUUCAAUCACAUUCACUUUGAAAUAACAAAACACAAUAUUUUGGAGCGAAAACCCUUGGCUUCUAUUUUAUCAAAAUAUAGUGUUUUCCUUCAGCAUCCGAUGUUGUCUCACAGUCUGUCAGUCUAUGAUAACACAACAGAUCAAAUGCAAAGCACUCUGAUACAAAUAUAGGUGAUAUAUUUAAUUAAUGACUAAAUCACUUGAUAUGAUGAAAUGUUCAAAAAGCAUUUGUUUAUUAAAGAAUAAAAUAUUAAC